UACGGAGGGGGCUAGCGUUGUUCGGAAUUACUGGGCGUAAAGCGCACGUAGGCGGUUUCCUAAGUCAGAGGUGAAAGCCCGGGGCUCAACUCCGGAAUUGCCUUUGAAACUGGGUGACUUGAUCACGGGAGAGGUGAGUGGAAUUCCGAGUGUAGAGGUGAAAUUCGUAGAUAUUCGGAAGAACACCAGUGGCGAAGGCGGCUCACUGGACCGUUGAUGACGCUGAGGUGCGAAAGCGUGGGGAGCAAACAGG
rnacentral:rRNA from 1 species